ensembl:lncRNA
CUCUUUUUAGAGCCCUACCUGCUGCAUAUGGGGGUUCCCAGGCUAGGGGUUGAAUCAGAGCUGAAGCUGCUGGCCUACUUCACAGCCACAGCCACGGCAAUGCAGGAUCCCAGCCGUGUCUGCGACCUACACCGCAACUCAAGGCAAUGCCGGAUCCUUAACCCACUGAGCAAGGCCAGGGAUCGAACCCACGUCCUCAUGGAUCCCAGUCGAGUUCCUUAACCACUGAGCCACAAUGGGAACUCCGAAAGUCAUUUCUUUCAAUGGCAUUUCCAUAUUGGAAGCCUAAUUAAUUAAGGAUGUCAGCUUGACUUUUUUAUCGGCAGGGGUACCAUCCUGAUUCAAACACUAAACAGUUUCAGGAAAGAUUAAAUUUCUUCCUGACCUGAGAGGAAUCCCAUUUUCUUCAUGACAAGCUCUGCUGACACAAUGGCCUGGGAAACCCUGCACACCUGCUACCGUUGUAGGUGGAUUUCCUCCUCAGUUUAAUACUCAAUUGGUCUCUAAUUACAGUAAUUAGAUUGUAAGCUCCUCAAAAGCAAGGAUUUUAGCCCGAAGCUAGGCCCAGAGGCGGUUUCAAUAACUGCUUGCUGAGUGAUGGAUUUGUAACUCUGGAUGGUUUCCAGCCAGCAGGACAGACGGCUGCAUGAGUGCUGCCGGGAGAACCCCUCUCCCCGCUUCGGCUUUCAGAGCAGGCCCUCUGUCUGUGGGGACUUCGACAAAGGCCACGGAUCGCUGCCAGGCAGCUGGGCAGCCCGAGGAGCACGCCCUAGGCCCCUGAUGAUUUCCUCCAGCUCCUCUUUUCUCGUCUGGAAACCUACAUGUUGCAAUUUCCCAUUUCCAGGUUUGAGACAUCAGCAAGAACAAGCAGAAGAGGUAGACGUCUCAGGUGGGCUUUGCUGGUACCUAACUUUCCCGUGGAGACAUCACAUCACAAAUGAAACGAGGACACGUUGCACAUUUCAGAGCGAGUGACAUGCCGUGUGGAGACUGAUUUCUAUAACCCCUUUUGCCAGAUUCGUCCAGAAGCUGGACUAAUAUUUUAAUCGUAUUCUCUUCAGAGGAAAAGGCAGCUGGUGAAAUUGUUGGAGGUGACAUGCCAAUCUACAUAGAAACCAAGUGUGGUUUGGAGACCACCAUGGAAAUAAUAACUUGAGUCAUUAAGUGGAGAAUGAAAGGAAGAAAGAAACCAGAUAAGUUUUCCAGGAUCAAGAAGUUGUUUUUAUUAUAAACUAACCUUAGGGAGACCAUAGGCUUUCUUAUUAUUUUAACAUUUAAAUUCAAAUACUGAUGGCUUUAUCUUUUCACUGCUGAUUACUCUUGGCAACAGCAGAGUUAGCAAGGAGGGCAGUGGAACAUCUUUCAACUUUUUAUUCUCGAGUUGCUGUUUUAAUUGUGUGUGUAAGCUCAGUUGUGCAGGCAAAGCGUGGCAAGGUGCCCACGGUGUCAUAAUUUGUGUCUUGAUAUAGGAUUUCUCUCUUCUUGUGAACUUGGCUUCCCAAGGCCUGAAUUCUAAUAGCUGGUACAAAUUCACUGGCAUCCUAAAAUCUAAAGGAAGAGGCCCCUCUCUGUCCCUCCCUCUCUCCCUUCUUCCCCUGCGCCUUUUAUUUCCUUGUAGACUUGGAUGAAACCAAAUCUUCAGAUCUUUACAUUGGUCUGCCCUGAGCCCUAGCAAUAAGUGUCUGCAGUACAACAUGUGGAGCUCUGGGAAAUACAAUCUUUUGCUUGGGAACUGCCCUCAGAUGGAAAUGGAUGUUUAGAUUUUUACUGGGAAUUUGUUUGUUCUUGUGAAUUUUGUGGGAUUAGGGUUGGUGCUGUGAUGUUCUCAUGUGCUCUGAUGACCCUUAGGUAUUUCAGAAAAAAGGAAAAUGAGAGUCUUAGAUCAAAUUUUGGAGGUGCUAAAGCUCUAUCCAAUUAUACUGGCAGAUGGUUCAGGGUGCAGCUGCGAAGAGAAGAUCCAAAAGUCCACACAAAGGCACAAAUACUACCUCUUCUGCCUGGAAGUGAGUCAGUGGAAGGAAAUAGGGUAGGGCAUAAUUUUGGACUGAAAUUUCUCUGUGGCAGCAACAGAUUGAACUGAUAAUAAGAGAAAGUUUGUAUUGUUAACUUUUAUAAGGUGGCAGUCAAUUUCAGGAAUUUUACAGUGCUGGCAUAUUAUUUGGGCCAUAUUUUCAUCUGGUGCUUACCGUUCACCCUGCCUGGUUGGAGAGUUUAGCUGAGUGGAAUCCAAGAGGAGAAAGAGAACCAGGGAUGAUAGUGGCCUUGGGGCUAAUGUAAUUAAUGUUCUGACCUGUUCAGCAGCUUUUGGAGCCCACAGCCUAGAGGCAUUCAUAAAAGCCUUGAAGGGAUGAAGUAGCCACGUCUUUGACUCCUGGAGGAUGUGGGGGAAGUGGCUCCAUGAAGGAGACGAUUAGACUUUUUUGGCUUCUCUCCUGAUCUCCUUUCCUGAAGAGGAUGUCAACUCUCGGAGGAGACUGUGGCUCCCAGGCUGAAUUUCACUGGGUUAAUAAGAGAAUAGCCAAAAAAAAAAAAA